rfam:Triticum aestivum genome assembly, contig: Triticum_aestivum_CS42_TGACv1_scaffold_486985_6AS
CAUCUACUCCCUCUGUCCCAAAAUUCUUGUCUUAGAUUUGUCUAGAUACGGAUGAUACAUCCGUAUCUAGACAAAUCUAAGACAAGAAUUUUGGGACGGAGGGAGUACUUU